CUCUGGUAAACAAAUGAACACUGACUGGGCUGGGACACACAACAAACCACAAUCACACUGUGUUCUGGUGUAGUGAAAAGCGUUUUACUAUGUAAUUUGUGGAAAAUACUUGCUAUAGUUAUGUAUGCAUCACAACAUCUCAGCAUGAUGCAGAGAAUGAAAGUGCUUGUCACACGAAAACAUGACAAGCUACCUGUAAUAAUUAACACAAGAGUGGUCCACUAAAUUCAUGCUCACCAAAUGUAAAGAGUAAAUAAAAACGAAAACCCACAGAUGAUGGCACAGUGGUGCCGAAACAUGUUUGGGUACUGAGAAAAACGGUGUUUUGUGUAACAGGCAGACCUCAAAUCCCAAAAAUUUUAACUGCAAACACGGCCAAUACAAGGAGCUGCAAAUCAAAAGAUGGAUAUGACUUUUUCAUUCUACUUUCAAUCAAUUGGGACUUUUUAAAAGUGUUU